UACGGAGGGAGCGAGCGUUGUUCGGAAUUACUGGGCGUAAAGGGUGCGCAGGCGGCUUGGCACGUCGGCAGUGAAAUCCCAGGGCUUAACCCUGGAAUUGCUUUCGAAACUGCCAAGCUAGAGUCUCGGAGAGGUUAGCGGAAUUCCCAGUGUAGAGGUGAAAUUCGUAGAUAUUGGGAGGAACACCGGUGGCGAAGGCGGCAUCCUGGACCGGCAUUGACGCUGAGGCGCGAAAGCCAGGGGAGCAAACGGG
rnacentral:rRNA from 1 species